UACGUAGGGCGCAAGCGUUGUCCGGAAUUAUUGGGCGUAAAGAGCUCGUAGGCGGUCUGUUACGUCCGCUGUGAAAACCCAGGCUUAACCCUGGGCUUGCAGUGGAUACGGGCAGACUAGAGGCAGGUAGGGGAGAAUGGAAUUCCCGGUGUAGCGGUGAAAAUGCGCAGAUAUCAGGAGGAACACCAAUAGCGAAGGCAGCUCGCUGGGACGGUACUGACGCUAAGGCGCGAAAGCGAUGGGAGCGAACGAGGA
rnacentral:rRNA from 1 species